rnacentral:rRNA from 1 species
GACGGGGGGGGGCAAGUGUUCUUCGGAAUGACUGGGCGUAAAGGGCACGUAGGCGGUGAAUCGGGUUGAAAAGUGAAAAGUCGCCAAAAAAGUGGCGGAAUGCUCUCGAAACCAAUUCACUUGAGUGAGACAGAGGAGAGUGGAAUUUCGUGUGUAGGGGUGAAAUCCGUAGAUCUACGAAGGAACGCCAAAAGCGAAGGCAGCUCUCUGGGUCCCUACCGACGCUGGGUGCGAAAGCAUGGGAGCGAACAGG